CUAGAUUUGGUUAGUAAAGGGGUUCUUAGAUGAGGGAAUAGAGUUUUCUGAUGACUUCUCACCGGAAAAACCGAGCUUCCUGAUCCAUUUUCCCUUUUCUCCCAUGCCUCUAUUUUCCAAUCACUCUUAUUUUCUCAGUUUUUCUCUCAAUUUCUCUCUCGAUCUCAAUCUCUUUCUCGAUUCUCUUCUUUAUUCUCCCUCUAUUUUUCAGCUCUUUCACUGGUUUCCCUUUCUCUAUUCUCGUUUAUCCUAUUUUUCUCUUACUUCAGUGUGUGCUUGUAUAUGAUAUCAGUGAAGAGUGUGUGUGGCGUGAAU
rnacentral:lncRNA from 1 species